GCCGGGGUGGUGGAACUGGUAUACACAUCAGACUUAAAAUCUGACGGCAGCAAUGCCAUACGGGUUCAAGUCCCGUCCCCGGCACCA
rnacentral:tRNA from 1 species